GACGUAGGGCGCGAGCGUUGUCCGGAUUUAUUGGGCGUAAAGAGCUCGUAGGCGGCUUGUCGCGUCGUCCGUGAAAACCUGCGGCUCAACUGCAGGCUGGCGGUCGAUACGGGCAGGCUGGAGUUCGGUGAGGGGAGACUGGAAUUCCUGGUGUAGCGGUGAAAUGCGCAGAUAUCAGGAGGAACACCGGUGGCGAAGGCGACAUCCUGGACCGGCAUUGAC
rnacentral:rRNA from 1 species